rnacentral:tRNA from 1 species
UCCCUAGUGGCUGUCAGUAAAGAAUCUGCCUGCAAUGCAGGAGACCAGGGUUCCAUCCCUGGCUUGGGAA